GAAAUGCGAUAAGUAAUGUGAAUUGCAGAAUUCAGUGAAUCAUCGAAUCUUUGAACGCACAUUGCGCCCGCCAGUAUUCUGGCGGGCAUGCCUGUCCGAGCGUCAUUUCAACCAUCAAGCCCCGGGCUUGUGUUGGGGACCUGCGGCUGUCCGCAGGCCCUGAAAACCAGUGGCGGGCUCGCUGUCACCCCGAGCGUAGUAGUAUUAUCUCGCUAAGGGCGUGCUGCGGGUUCCGGCCGUUAAACAGCCUUCAUAACCCAAGGUUGACCUCGGAUCAGGUAGGAAGACCCGCUGAACUUAA
rnacentral:misc_RNA from 1 species